UUCACUCUCUCCUAGGGUUAUAUCCAAGCCAAACCACACACAAUGUCACACUCGCAAUUCAGCAAAGGCGACCAAGUGGAGGUCGUGGAAGACCCGGGCCAGAGCUAUGCUAGUCCCUACUUCUUGGCAACUGUGCUUCACUCUUCUGCUAGCAACAAGUCCCUCAUCUUUGUCGAGUACCAAAGUGUUUUAGACACCACGGAGUCCCGCUCCGACGCCCGAAAACGUCUCUGGAAGUUCGUUGAUCUUGAGAAUGUGAGGUCCAUUCCACCAUUGGAGCUCAACCGGCCUUUCAAAUUAGGUGACAUUGUGGACGCUUACCAUGAUAAUUGCUGGUCCCGUGGUAUUAUCAUGGAUAUCCUCGAGAACUCUAAGUAUUUGGUUAUUCUCCAUGGCGACAGUGAAGAAAUUGCCUGUGAACAGUGCAAUUUGCGGCUUCAUACUGAUUGGGACAAUCGCUUUUUAGUCCCACCUCUCAAAACACAAGAAGAGGAAAAAAUUGGUGGCAAACUUUAGAAAUGGGACGAUGGUUGAAUUGCAGAAAAAGUCAUCUGGAAUAGAAGUGAAGCCUAGAAAUAUAAGAUUUAAAACUACAGUCGGCAGGAAAAAAUUGGUGGCAAACUUCAGAAAUGGGAUGAUGGUGGAGGUUACCAGUGAUAUGGAAGGGUAUGAGGGUUCUUGGUACGUUGGUAGAAUUGUUGGCCCAGUUGGAAUUGAUAGGUUUCUAGUGGAAUACCGUGACUUGGUAGCAGAUGAUGAGAUCCAACCCUUGAGAGAAGAAGCAGAUGCAUGUCAUAUCAUGCCUUUUCCCUUCCAGUUCCAUCAAUUGCCCGUUAUAAAACUCUACAAAAAGUUGAUGCAUGGCAUAACGAUGGGUGGUAGGAGGGUGAGAUUUCAAAAGUUAAGGGUGACUCAAAGUAUGUUGUCUUUUUCAAACCUACAAAGGAGCGGAUAGUAUGUGAACAUUCAAAUUUGAGGCCUCAUCAAGGCUGGAAAGAUGGAAAAUGGUCCAUGGCUCAAGAGGAGAGUUCAAGUGAAUGUGUUGAUGGUGUAAAUUUGAAGAUGGAGGACAUUAAGCGAAAGUUCAGCAAGGGGACAACAGUGGAGGUCAGAAGUGAUGAAGAAGGUUACAAGGGUUUAAUGGUACAUUGCAAAAAUUGUGGAAAUAUUAGAGAAUGACAAUGUUCUGGUGGAAUAUCAAACAUUGAAAACAGAUGAUGAAACUGAAUUCCUGAAAGAAGAGAAAGAUGCUUCAGACAUAAGGCUUGUCCCCUUGUCGUUCAACAUGCCUACCCUUAUAUAUUUGGUGAAAGAGUUGAUGCUUGGUAUAACGAUGGAUGGUGGGUAGGUUGUAUAUACAAAAUUCUUCGUUGCUCAAAGUACACAGUUUUCUUUGCUACGUCAAACAAGUUGUUGGAAUUCGAACAUUGUGAACUGAGGCCGCAUCUAGAAUGGAUUGGUGGAAAAUGAAUAGCUACUUUAAAGGCAUGACUUUCGUAUGCCCCAUGGAGUGUGUCUGCGAACAGAGGCCGUAUCAACAAUGAAUAGAUGGAAAAUGGAUAGAUGCUCAAAUGGCAUGACUUUAUAUACCCUAUAGAAUAGGUGUCCAAGUAUAAAUAUUUUAUGUAAUUUUGGUGUUCUUCUAGUAAGGAAAAUGUUUCUCUGUUGAUAGCCUUAUAAAUCAACCAAUGAUAACCACUUUAGAAAUUUAUUUUAUAAAUCCUAGCUGCUAUUUCAUAUGCUGAAUGAUUAUGUAAAUAUACAAUU